UACAAUUUUUAGCUCUUCGUUUUAUUUAAAAAAUUUUGUGAUUGAUAGUUUUGUUUUUAUUAAAUGAUAAAUCAUGAAUAGUAUUUUACGUGUGACUAAUUUUUGUCUAAUUUUCUGAAAAAUUUUCAAAUAAGACAAAUGGUCAAACGUUGGACACGAAAACC
rnacentral:pre_miRNA from 1 species